AGGACGAACGCUGGCGGCGUGCUUAACACAUGCAAGUCGAGCGGAAAGGCCCUUCGGGGUACUCGAGCGGCGAACGGGUGAGUAACACGUGAGUAACCUGCCCCUAGCUCUGGGAUAGCUCCGGGAAACCGGGAUUAAUACCGGAUACGACCACCUUAGACAUCUUUUGUGGUGGAAAGAAUUUCGGCUAGGGAUGAGCUCGCGGCCUAUCAGCUUGUUGGUGGGGUAACGGCCUACCAAGGCGACGACGGGUA
rnacentral:rRNA from 1 species